rnacentral:tRNA from 1 species
AGCGAGGUAGGGUAGCCUGGAGUGCCCGCCGGGCUCAUAACCCGGAGAUCGGAGGUUCAAAUCCUCUUCUCGCUA